rnacentral:rRNA from 1 species
AACGAACGCUGGCGGCAUGCCUAACACAUGCAAGUCGAACGAGACCUUCGGGUCUAGUGGCGCACGGGUGCGUAACGCGUGGGAACCUGCCCUUAGGUUCGGAAUAACUCCCCGAAAGGGGUGCUAAUACCGGAUAAUGUCUUCGGACCAAAGAUUUAUCGCCUUUGGAUGGGCCCGAGUUGGAUUAGCUAGUUGGUAGGGUAAAAGCCUACCAAGGCGACGAUCCAUAGCUGGUCUGAGAGGAUGAUCAGCCACACUGGGACUGAGACACGGCCCAGACUCCUACGGGAGGCAGCAGUGGGGAAUAUUGGAAAAUGGGCGAAAGCCUGAUCCAGCAAGGCCGCGUGAGUGAUGAAGGCCUUAGGGUUGUAAAGCUCUUUUACCCGGGAUGAUAAUGACAGUACCGGGAGAAUAAGCUCCGGCUAACUCCGUG